rnacentral:rRNA from 1 species
CUCAAAUUUGAAAUCUGGCGUCCUCAGGGCGUCCGAGUUGUAAUCUAUAGAGGCGUUUUCCGUGCCGGACCGUGUCCAAGUUCCUUGGAACAGGAUAUCAAAGAGGGUGACAAUCCCGUACUUGACACGACGACCGGUGCUCUGUGAUACGUCUUCUACGAGUCGAGUUGUUUGGGAAUGCAGCUCAAAAUGGGUGGUGAGUUCCAUCUAAAGCUAAAUAUUGGCGAGAGACCGAUAGCGAACAAGUACCGUGAGGGAAAGAUGAAAAGCACUUUGGAAAGAGAGUUAAACAGUACGUGAAAUUGUUGAAAGGGAAACGAUUGAAGUCAGUCGUGACCGAGAGGCUCAGCCGGUUCUGCCGGUGUAUUCCCCUCGGUCGGGUCAACAUCAGUUUUGUCCGGUGGAUAAGGGCGGUAGGAAGGUGGCACCCUCGGGUGUGUUAUAGCCUGCCGUCGCAUACAUCGGGUGAGACUGAGGAACGCAGCUCGCCUUUAUGGCCGGGGUUCGCCCACGUCCGAGCUUAGGAUGUUGACAUAAUGGCUUUAAACGACCCGUCUUGAAACACGGGACC